AUAGGCAAAGGAGAUCCUAAGACGCUGAGAGGCAAAAUGUCUCAUACGCAUUCUUUGUGCAAACCUGCCGGGAGGAGCACAAGAAGCACCUGGAUGCUUCUGUCAACUUCUCAGAGUUCUCCAAGAAGUGCUCAGAGAGGUGGAAGACCAUGUCUGCUAAAGAAAAGGGGAAAUUUGAAGAUAUGGCAAAGGCUGACAAGGCUCAUUAUGAAAGAGAAAUGAAAACCUACAUCCCCCCCCAAAGGGUAGACCAAAAAGAAGUUCAAGAACCUCAAUGCACCCAAGAGGCCUCCUUCGCCCCAAAAUCAAAGGCAAGCAUUCUGACAUAAUAUCCAUUGGUGAUGUUGCAAAGAAACUAGGAGAGAUGUGAAACAACACUGCAGCGGAUGACAAGCAGCCCUAUGAGAAGAAGGCUGCCAAGCUGAAGGAGAAGUACGAGAAGGAUAUUGCUGCCUACAGAGCUAAAGGAAAACCUGAUGCAGCGAAAAAGGGGGGUGGGCAAGACUGAAAAGAGCAAGAAAAAGAAGGAAGAGGAAGAUGAAGAGGAGGAGGAAGAGGAGGAAGAAGAGGAAGAUGAAAAUGAAGAAGAAGAUGAUGAUGAAUAA
rnacentral:lncRNA from 1 species